CACAAGCGGUGGAGCAUGCGGUUUAAUUCGAUGAUACGCGAGGAACCUUACCUGGGCUUGACAUACACUGGAAUGGGCGUGAAAGCGUCCAGCCCCUCGGGGCCGGUGUACAGGUGCUGCAUGGCUGUCGUCAGCUCGUGCUGUGAAGUGUUGGGUUAGGUCCCGCAACGAGCGCAACCCCUGCUAUCUGUUGCCAGCAAGUAAUGUUGGGGACUCAGAUGGAACUGCCGGUGACAAACCGGAGGAAGGUGGGGACGACGUCAAGUCAUCAUGGCCCUUAUGUCCUGGGCUACACACGUGCUACAAUGGCCGGUACAGAGCGCAGCGAAGCCGCGAGGCAAAGCGAAUCGCAAAAAGCCGGUCUCAGUACGGAUUGGAGUCUGAAACUCGACUCCAUGAAGUUGGAAUCGCUAGUAAUCGCGCAUCAGCAUGGCGCGGUGAAUACGUUCCCGGGCCUU
rnacentral:rRNA from 1 species